CCUACAGGAGGCUGCAGUGGGGAAUAUUGGACAAUGGGGGCAACCCUGAUCCAGCCAUGCCGCGUGUGUGAAGAAGGCCCUCGGGUUGUAAAGCACUUUCAGUGAGGAAGAACGCCUGGUGGUUAAUACCCAUCAGGAAAGACAUCACUCACAGAAGAAGCACCGGCUAACUCCGUGCCAGCAGCCGCGGUAAUACGGAGGGUGCGAGCGUUAAUCGGAAUUACUGGGCGUAAAGCGCGCGUAGGUGGCUUGAUAAGCCGGUUGUGAAAGCCCCGGGCUCAACCUGGGAACGGCAUCCGGAACUGUCAAGCUAGAGUGCAGGAGAGGAAGGUAGAAUUCCCGGUGUAGCGGUGAAAUGCGUAGAGAUCGGGAGGAAUACCAGUGGCGAAGGCGGCCUUCUGGACUGACACUGACACUGAGGUGCGAAAGCGUGGGUAGCAAACAGGAUUAGAUACCCUGGUAGUC
rnacentral:rRNA from 1 species